GGGAACUUAAGAUACUGAGUGCCUGUUUCCAGGUUUUGUUUAGGGGCAAAUGGCAGAAUCAAGACCAGAACUGUCACUCUCAGCUUAAGUUCUGACUUUUUGGUUGGUGUUGGUUGGAACUCAGAGUCUAGCAUGGGUUUUUUAAUUACAUAAAAUAAAGACUGUGAAGCUACCUUCUUGUUUUACAUCCAGAUCCUUUCCUGAGUCUCUCUGUUUUGGGCUAGUUCAUAAUUGAGCUUCCUUGAUAUUGAGUCAUUUGGGAAUUGGGAAUGACAUAAGCCACUCAUCUUAUUACUGUUGGUCUCUCACCAGUCCACAUUUUAGAGAUAUCUAGGUCCCUGAGAGAAUCCCAAAUAUUAUUUCAGUUCUCCUGUAGCUCAUGAAGCCAUAAAUAUUUCACCUCACCCAGGAGAAUCAAAGCAUUUUCACAUUGGUUCUUACUGGGGAGUUGAGAUAUGGGUAAGUAAUAGGAGUCCCAUUCCUGCUUUGGCUGGGGUUCGGGUCUCCAAUUUCACUGCCAGUGUGUCUCUAAAUCUACACAGUGGGACAGUGGCUACAGCAGACAUCACUCAGCUCCCCACUCCUGACUUGAGACCUUCCACUAGUUGCCCCUUCCCCUAAAAACAGAGUGAUGUCAUAAUGGUAUCAGAAUGGCACUUGCUGAUAACAACACAGAAAUAACAAGGGCAGACUUUCUGCAGUGUCUCCUGAGCAAUUGGUUGUCAUUGUCCUAAACAGAGCAGCUAGGUUAAAAAGAUUUAUCCAUAAUGUAACCUCCUGGCCCUCAGCUAUGGGUGGAAGCAGCACUUUCUGGUUUGACCUCCUAAUACCACAAACUCCACUUUGCCAGAAAAGUGACUUCUUGAUGAAUAGUCUGUUCAGAUAGGCCAAUUUGGAGUAUAUUCAUAUUUGGCCACCUGCUGGAGCGUCAAUGACCAAGAGGAGACCAGAUGAGUUUUCAAAGCAGUCCUCAAACACCCAGGACACACCUCAUCCUUUACCUCGUGCUUUCUGCAAUGUUGCUGUUCAUGUUCAUCUUCCUAUUAACAUUUGCCAUAAUAACCCCUCAUUGACCACCAUCAUUCCUCCAUCCACCACCAACUCAGCUCCUUCUCUAAAGUGCCCUCUAAUGGGCAGUGGCUUUGGUCUCUGUUUGGCAAAUUAUGUCCAGAGGGUUAACAUUAAUUUCUCUUUCUCCUAUUCCUCCCUCAUGCUAGAUUCAGUCCAUCACUCAGCCUCCUGUCAGGAAAACCAUAGCAAAUCCUACUUUCUGCUAAAAUGAAGUUACAAGACACUUUUCCAGAGUAGUCACACUCAAUGAAGGGACCCAGGGUGUAUCUGAGUGUGAUGUAAUUGAAACCACAUGGAAAGACUAGAAAUACCUUGCUCCCAGUCAGAUAUAGUGAAACAGCUUACUCAAGACUGGACUAAGAUUUAGAAUAUAGGGGGGCUAGGGAGGAGAAAGAGAAAGAUCCUCAGAAGUGGAUUGUCCCUGAAUACAGGAUGAAAUCAUCUAGAUUUUUUUCUCCAAUUAAAUUUGCAUUUCAUUCAACCACAUUGCAAUGGCUUCAUACUGGGCAUUUUCAUUUGAGACCCAAGGCUUUUCUUCAUGGGUCCUGAGCCACAGGUUCCUGGAUGGUGAGGUGAAUAGACUGUUGAGACUAUUUUGAGUUGUUG
rnacentral:lncRNA from 1 species